UCCUCGGUAGCUCAGUGGUAGAGCGGUCGGCUGUUUGCUUCGUCGACCCCCGCUUUCGCGGUUGCUUCCCUCUAAGGCAGAACGCUCCCCUACCGAUGCAUUUUGACAUCCCACAGCUUCGGCAGAUCGCUUAGCCCCGUUCAUCUUCAGCGCAAGGGCGCUCGGACUGGUCGUAGGUUCGAAUCCUACUUGGGGAG
rnacentral:tRNA from 1 species